AAGAAAAAAAAAAAAACACGAAAAAAGGGAGGAAAAAAAAAAAAAAGAAAGGAAAGUGGCGACAACAACAGCGCGGGCGGACGGAGCGCUCCGCGGGGACUGACAGCGCGGGGGCACCGCUCGGACGUUCGGCGUUCCCACGGCGCGCGUGUCCGCGCCGGAGAGUGGGGGAACCCCGUGGGGAGAGCGGUGGUGAACCCCAACGGAACGAGGUUGGGUGGGGGGCGGGGGGUUACUUGUAGCGUCCGCAAAGGUCUUCUGUUUUAUGUUUCUUAAAAUCUAUAGCGAAGCCCCAACACAGAUUCCAUUGACUCAAUGGGAGAUCUCCAGGUGCAGCCGCUCGAGCGGUCCGUGCCAGAGCCCCGUGUUUUCCUUUCCAGCCGAUUUUGCUUGGAUCGGGCUCAAAAAGCCGAGCGAGUCUCGUGGUUUUGUUUACACUGAAUGGGGAGGAUAGGAGCGGUGCCAUGGGGCCGUCUUUCAUUAAUAUACAGUGAGGAUUUUGUCUAAAUUACCGCUAUGAAUUUCACAGUGCGCGCUUUCAAAAGCCGUCUCAGGUGGCCCGAUGGAACGUGAUAGCGCCUCUGCAAACAGAUCCACGUCUGAAUAUAGACGGAGGGGGGGGGAGAACCCCCCCCAAAUAAUAAUAAUAAUAACAAUAAUAAUAAAAAUAUAUGCCCCCCCCCCCCCCAUCUCCCUCCCGAGAGCGGCAGCAAAAUAAGGCUGCGGCGGGAGCAGCGCCUUUUAUUGAAGAGGCAAAAAAAAAACCCCCAACUUAGUUCCCCAACUCUUCCCGCCCCCUCCCUCGCGGAGUGUGAUUGUUUUGUCUGGAAAAAAACCCAAAGUAUAACAAGGGGAGAACAGUUAGUGCUGAUUUCCAUUUGCAUAAAUUUUCAUAUAUUUUGGUGAAAAUAAUAGACGGGCGGAGAGCGGGGCUCGGCGGAGUCAGUGCGAGGGAAAUGCGGAGCGGGGAGAGCCGUGCCGGAGCCGAGAAGGCGCGCUGUGCCCCCGUCACCCCAUUAAAACCCCAAAUGAACGCCCAACCGCAUCUCCUCGGUGCUGGGAGUGCGCUCGCCGCCUGGACUCUCACAGUUCUUCGGUAGCUUUUCUGAUCCAUCAUGUCAGCCUGGCAGCUGUGCCUCUGCGCUCUGCCUGCUGCCCACCGCCAGCCAGAUUUCAGCCUCCUACGUGUGGCAUGCCCUCUUCCCUGGCUGUCCCCUCACCGGAGAGCUCAUUUUGCCUGCGCCUCUAUUUAAUGGAUUUCCUGUAACUGGAAGAACUGCUUUCUCUCAGGGGUCUUCUUAGCCCACGGCACCAGCUCCACAAGCACAGAGGAGUGUGUGUUCCCAGAUGUACCCAGGCCCACUCUGUUCUCCAGCCUCGUUACAUGGGUUUCUGUCUCUCCUCAGCAUCCCCUUGAAUGGCAUCUACUGCACGGAGUGCCUUCCUUGCCUCUAGUUAAGAUUUAUACCGACUGCCGCUCUGCUUACUACGGUUGAGAGGAUGGGUGAUAUGGCCUAACAGGGUGGAAGUAUUGAUCGAAAUGAAACUUUGACAAAUGGCUGGAACAGAAUCUUGAGAAAGUUCCUUGACUGUUCCUUUCCAUUCAAAAAGAGAAUUUCAGAGUAAAUUUGAUCAGUUCAAUUGUUCAAAGGAAAUGGAAAGAACAGGAGAGUGGAAGUUCAGUAGUAGCAGGAACACAGAAGUCAUAAGGCUGACCUAGACAAUGGGAAGAUGCAGAAUAUUUUAGUAACGUGCUGUAGUAACUGUCACCUGCAAAAUGUCCAUCAGCACUUCUGCAAAUUCUUUCCACCAUUCUCAACAAGAUAACAAAAGAUAACUUUUCGGACCACAAAGCUGAAACACUUCCUGUGACUCAAAUGGCUCCAGCACAGCUAUUUCCUAGAAGACAUCCUCCCUGAUUUCUUGUGGUGCCUGUUAGAUUGCUGAAGUUGCAGUGCAGAGAUAAACCAGAUACCAGAAUAGAGGAACGUUUCUCAGAAGGACCAGUGAGACAUCUCCUGACCUCUGUCUCCAUCUGAGGAUAUAUCUGGAGUAGAGCAGAGAAGCAGAGGCACCACAGACUACAGAUACCCAUGGGGAAUGUUGUUCUGCCUCAAGGUUCAGCUCUACAAUAUGGCCAUGGACCGUAUAUACCCAUAGGUUCCUGUGAGUGGGUGAAGUGGGUGAGGGUUUAGACAGAGGCUGGGAUGAGUCUGAAGGGAUGCUGAUCUGGGUGGUGGGGGACUGGGACUCCAUGGCAUACUGUCACAAAUCAAAAGAUAAGUCUAGUUACAGCCAUUCAGCCUUUGAUUUUCUCGCCUUCCUCCUAAACUAUUUUCCCAAGAACUUAUUUGUCUCAGUCUGCGUUUUCCUUAUCUGCAGACAGGGCUAUGAGGCAUACCAUACUACAAUGAAUAUGGGUACUCACUCCAUGCUGGGCUGUGGGAGAAAGUUUUGCACAGCUCUAGUAAAACAGGUGAACAGCUACAGGUUUGAAAAGCCUCCUAGCCUUCCCUGAACCUCAAAAGGCCCAGUGUAGGAUUCCUCACCCAUCCUGAUUAUCCAUAAGUAGAUCAGACAGCAUCUCAUUUCCUAGACACAAACAUUCAGCGGUGUUCUGCAGUUGCUUCAAGAGUAAAGAAAAUUCCUCCUGGCUCCUACUGAGCAGUCACUGGCAUUGGUCAACCAUAGCACACCUUGUCUUUGCCAGAAGCCAGUAUCAGACAAUAUGAAAGGGAACUGCCCCCUCCUUCCUGUGUAUGUAAAUGUAUAACAGUUUACCACGGAAGAUGAUGCCUUUCUGACUCCAUCUACUGACUAGCUUUUACCAAGAACUACUGACACUAUUACAUAAUACUUGUUAGUAAAACUCUCACAGAUUUUUUCAAGGCCAGGAACAACCAUUAUUAUCAUCCAGUCUGAUCUUCUGCAUAAUAUAUGCUACUGAAUUUAACCCAAUCUGAACUUGGUGUGUAGAUUUGCUUUUAUGUCUCAAAAUGCCUCCUCAUUUACAAAUAUGAUACUGUUUCACCGAGUACUAUCUGUGCAGCAGCAAGUUCCAUUAAUUAACUGUACAUUGUUUGGAAAAGCAAUACCUCUUAUCCGUUUGAAAUUCGAUACCUCUUCGUUUCACCUUGCAGGAUAGGAAAGGGUUUUUAUUCCUUUGCUGCUAAUUAGGUUGGAGGAUCAUGAGGACAAAAUGUUAUUUAUAUUAUAGUCGUGCUUAAGGAGAGCUCUGAUGAAGCCUGGGGAUCCCACUGCACAAAGUGAGGGAGACCGUGCAAUUCCUUCAGGACUGAGACUAUUUGAAUGGACGAAUGGCAUAUUUUCAAAGGAGCUGAACGAUUUCACCAAAACGAAUGUCAGACAAGUCAAUGGAUUCAUACUUCUCAAUCACCUAUACAUUUCUAAAAAAUCAAUCCAAAGUUUGAAGGAAAGAAAGGCAUGGAAAAACAAAGUCCCUGAAGCCAAGAUCAAGAAAUAAGUUUGGUAUGUAGUCAGUGAAAAGAAAAACGUGUUGCUAAUAUGCAGCUCUGUGUCCACUGUCCAUAGGUCACUUUGGCUUCCAGAGGCUCAUGGUCUUAAAGUCCUCCCUUUAAGAGAGCAGGGUGCACUGGGCAAAGUACAAUGUCUGCUGCAUGCACAGUCCCCAGUUCUUUUGCCCUGGGGCCAAGGACAGCUACAUUAUCUCAGGCAACAGCGGUUAUCCAAGUUUAUGGAAAGGGUUCACGUAAGAUUUGCAGUCCCAUGAGGGUCAGUCUGCCUUGAGAGAUAGGCUGGGGUUUGUGUUCUCUCUCUCUUCUCAAGGAAAUUCCCCAUCCUUUUGACUUCUAUCUUUUUUUAUUGCCAUUCUCUGGACUUCUUCUAUUUCUACUUUCUUUUUUACAGGGAUGAGGUGACCAAAUUUGAAGACAGUAUUCAAAGUGAGGAUGUGCCACUGAUUUAUAUAAUGGCAUUAUAAUAUUUUCCAUAUUAUUCUCUAAAACUCUUUUCUUCAUACAAACCCCUUAAGAUUCUUUUUAAUUCUUUGAACUAUAGUGCCUUUUAACAUCUGUAGUUUACUCUGAUCAGAUUUUGACAAAGGAAUAAAAGGCUCCAUUUUUCACAUAGAAUUUUAUUUAUUGUUUGAACUUUAGAGGAGAAAUUGGUUAACUUACAAUUUAAAAUUCUUGGCAAUGUAGACCAUUGGACAAGGAUUUCAUUAUCAGCCCUUCUGUACUUUCUGUAGAAAUGCUUAAAGUUGGUGGACAGAGUCUUGGCUAAAAAGACUUUACUUUCGUACUAUAAACAUAGCCAAAGACUUAGUUUGGAGCUGCUAGCAUCCCCAAAGAUGUCAGAGAUAUCAUUGUUCUGUACCCCCUUCCUGAUGCAGUGUGCUGGGGCCAUGCAUUGACAUGUCAUCCAGCCAGAGUUGUGCGUGUGUGCAAGCGGUACCCAAAUGCCGUGAUCUUCUCUUUACCUUACCACGUACUUCCACAGUAGGUCAGGAAAAGACCCCUCUGAAAAUGAGGUGCUUGAUGACUGCAGAGGGUGAGAAUCUUGCUCUCAUGUCACAGCUGGGCGUGAUGCCUUCAUCAGGGUAUUAGAAAAGGCUCGAGGAAAACAGUUACAUCCAUUCUAUUGCUUAAGACACUUCCUGCAGCUACUGACUCGUCUUAGAGUUACCAAUCCAAAUGCUGACCCUGCCUGACCCUACUUAUCUUUUAAAAGCUGACAAGAUCACAGCCUGAAGCAGUAUAGCCACAGGCUCAAUACUGGCUACCAAAAUGUCUGUUUAGUAUUUUCAAAAACGCUGCUCUUAAGAUUUACAAUACAAGCUGCUGGAUGUAUGGACAACACUGAAACACAACCCUGACCCCUGAACAUUCAGCCCUACUUACACAGAAAUUUGUGCCUCUCGAGGGGCCAGCACUGAGUUGCUGCAAAACAGUUAUUCCCUACCUGCAAGUGAGCUGGAAUUAAAGCAUCAUAGGGUUGUAUGCAUUCAGAUACUGGGUAAAAAUAUUUGAAAACUACAGCCUUGAUUUCAGAAUUCACUGACAACUUCUUUCAUUAGCUGCAUUACUGCUUUAACAGUAGAAAGAGUUCCGCCCUUUUUGUGUAAUAUCUUUUUUGGUUUAGUAUAGAAAAUCGUCCUAAUUCUUCUAUGACCAAAGCAGUUUUUCAUCAGAAGUUGUUUUUAGAUGAACUGUAAGUUUCUUCCCUAGCAGUGAAAGAAGCUCAUAUUUUUCUGAAUAUUUCUAAGGUUAAAUGGAUAAACACAGCUUUAAAUACUCAUGAAACACUAAGGGACCGAUCUAGUUGAGUUGUUUGUGCAUUCAUACAUGAUAUAAAUUCAUGGUUCUUGCAGGUUUUUUUUUUUUUUAACAGCAAAGAUAUGGAAAAGACAAUUGAGGUCUUAUUGCUCCUGUUGGAAACUUCUGCCGACUACAGCAAGAGUUGGACUGGGCCCAGAGAAACCAGAUACAUACAAGUUGCAAUGAGUUGGCCACACAAGCAAGGAAAAUCACAGAUAACGGAUGCACACAAAUUAGUAAUGUACCUUUUAGGUCAUCCAGUACAGCUUGCUGACACAUUGAGAUUGUCUCCUAUGGCAUAUUUUUGGUUGCUUUGGAUGACUGGAUUAAAUGUCCUAAGUAAUGCCAUUUACUUAAGGAGAGAUUGUGCUGCCCAGUAUAUCCUGUUAGAAGUCUUUUUUUCCUUUCUUAACAUCAUCAUAUUUCUCCCAGUUUUGUUCCUUUGCAAACCUCCUUAUUUCCCUUCUGCGAUGCUAUUUUUUCUCCAGUGUCUUUAGACUAAUGUGAUGUUCCAUUUAGUUAACAUUAAGUCAGUUCAUACCUAUUUAGAUCAUUUAAUCUUUUCUGAUAAAUCAGUCCUUUCAGUCUCCUGGUUAUUUUCUCAUCUCCUCUUGUCCCACUCCUGUCUGUCAGUAGCUUUUUUAGCUAUGAUAUUUUAAAGAUGUGGUGCAUUUAUCUGAACUAACGGCAGGUUGGGCACAGACUUGAGCACCCUCAAUACCUUCUCACUGAAAACCACUCAAGGGAAGGCCACUGGCACUCUGUGCAAACAAGCAGGCAGAGCAUUCUGUUCAAACCAUUUCCUUGGUAUCACCUGUUUUACUGAUCAUCAACAAAAAACAUUUAAACAUUUAGCCUAGUGAUUCAAAAACCAAACAUGGGUCACUAUAGAUUAAUUAUAUUUUUUCAUAAUGCUAGGAAAUAUAAUGGCAGAGAGGAAAAUACAUUUGUUGUUGGUAUUUUCAAACUCUUGGUCGUGGAUAUCACAAUCUAAAAUUAUGGAAGAUGUUGUCUUGUCUAGUAACUAUAUUUGGGUGCCACUGGAGUACACUGUAGAAAGUAAUUAUAUAUGUAGUCACAAGCAUAGCUGUUCACGUCAGGCAAUAAAUUCUGAUCAACAAACAACACUCCUUUAGUGCUAAAUGAAAUCUUGGCUGUAAUUGACUGUCUUUACCUUUGUGUUCUGUUGGAUUGGAGGAAUAUCAUUUUAAUCUGCUCUCUUUAAAUUUUCAUUAAGGAACGUUUCAGCUACCUGCAGCCUCGUCUGAUGAUGUUUAAUGAUAUAAGCUAGCACGUUCUUCCGUGCACCAGCAGGGGCUUCUUUAAAUUGGUCAACCGUACAGAACAUUGUUUUCGUGUUUAAUGUACUUGGAAUCAACCUUUUAAAAUAAUGAUGUCUCUACAGACAGUUUAUAUACGUAGCACACACACAUAUGUGCAUGUGUAUGUAUGCAUAUAUACGCGUAAGUGCACACAUACAUAGAGAAACACUGAUCCUAUUCACCUUCUUGAAAACAUUUCAGCUAGUAUUAGCAUAAAUGUGCUGUUAAGUUGGCAGUGUUAUACAUUUUUGUUGGAGUUUACUUCUGUAACCUAAAAUCAAGCAGAUAAGCUGUGAAACUCAUGCAGCUGAUGACAUAACGCUGGGAUCUCAUGAUGCUGAAUCUCAUAUUUCUAGGCAUAAAGGAUGGAUGUUCCUUUCUGGAAUUAUUAUGCUGCCUAUUGCAAUAUAUGUUUUCUUGUUUUCAUGUGGGCACUGAGAUGUUCAAACCAUUAAAUGUAUAUGGUAUAAUGAGUCCUGUGUUCCUUAUUUAUUCUAAAGAAGGCAUUAACUUUCUAUGGUUGUUUUAUUGUAUGAUAAUAAAGCCAACUACUCUAAGAAUCUGUGAUGAACAUAGCAAUAAGCUGUGACAAUAUGCAUAGUUACAUUUAAUGCCGAUGUCCAAAUGUACAUAUGUGCAUAUAAAUAAGCAUAUAUGUAUAUUCAAGCACUCAAAGAUAGGUACACACACAAAUUAAAUACAGUCAAUUAGGAUAUGGCAUAAGCAGAUUCAAAGCUUACCUGUUACGGCUUUGUAAAGGGGGAAAUCCGAACCACAAAGACACACAUGAAAGUAAAGCUCUAUAUACUCCAUUGGCUCGUUACCAUUAUGCUCAACAGUGACAGGCUGUAUGCUAAGACGGGGUACCAGCAGACAUUCGCCAUGACAGCUGGUUCAAAACAGAGCUUUCAAAAUAGUGCAACACCCCUCACUUCCUUCCAAAUCCUGGUGUUUGCCAGCAGCACUUAGCUGAGGCUGGCUCUUAAGGUCAGAUGUUCAGAUAUAAGUUGUCUGAAAUGAAUCUGCUUCUUUGUUUUUGGACCGUGUAUAUGUUCAGCAUAGCAUCUAGGCUCUUCAUGAAUUUGUGUUUGAGUUCACACGUGAGUAGUGCUUGCCUAUUACCUGAAAAAAUGAUGGAUGUUUUUCCCCGACACCAUGCUCUAUUUGCCUGAGAUUGUCCUCUAUCAAAUUCUCCUUUCUUUUGUGGGUUACAUAAAAUGAGAGCCAUACACAGGCUUCUUGUUUUCACUGAAAAAAAUAAAAAAGCACAGCCCCUCUGUUGAGAAAUAGAAGCAAAACGGUUUCUCUUUAACAUCACCCACAUCACACGCACUGCUCAGCCAAUUAGGGACAGAGCAUAAAAAAUACUUAGUUUAUCCUGUGUGACUUUUCCCAGUAGAUACAUAUAGAAUCUGGAAAUAAACACACUCCUCCUUUGGAAGGAAACGCAAACAGGGUUUAUCUAUUUGCAUUUGAACUCAGUGAAAAAUAACCAGGCACAAAAAGCAAGCUUGAAGAUAAGACACCAGUAUACAUAAAGCUAAAUUUUAGCAAGCUAAAUUCUGCUAUGCUGUUAUAAUUGCUACGCAAAACACGAGCUAAUUCAUUGUUCCAUUGUGCUGGUGAAAUAGGUAUGCGUUACAUGUGGGGCAGGUAGGGGAGCUUACACAGGGAUGCUGUUGACUUUGCUGAGCAGCCAGUGUGUGGGGAGCAUGCCAUCAACAACCUUGUGAAAAUGAGGCUGGUGAACCAGCUUGGUCUCGGAAAUGACUUUAGAGUGGGUAGAAUAAUAUUUAAAAACUAUGAUGAAUUAUAGCUGCAGCACACGAAUACUAAGUGUGUGCAGUUUAUCAUUUACCAUAUCACCUGGGGACCCCAAGACCUGAGUGUCAGAUCUUCAGAGGAAUUCAGAUGGCUAAACGUGCUGCUGCCUGGGGAUCUUCAGUGCUGCCCAGACACAUCCCUCCUAAUGCAAUCAAGGAGAUCCAGGUAUCAGGGCUCUUCAGAAAAGCAUUGAUCAGUCUCUUGGGCAGCUCCACUCCGUUCCUGGAGUAUUGACCCUGCUUCAGCUGGAAGUGCCUCUGGGGAGGUGCUGAGGUGAAUGGGAUGAGGCUGUGCACAUUUCUGGAGGAGGUAGGGCUCUCCUGCAAGCCAGAGGCAUGAGCAGGGCUGCUUCCCUGCAGCAGGCCCGCUGGGCUUUCUGAUGCUCAGCUCACCAGCUCCGGUGGUACACGAGCAGCGUGGGUACACACUGUGGCUGGCGAUGCCCCUGUUUGACAUCAGCCUUCCCUCCUGGAUCCGGGCCGCUGCUGAUUGCUGAGGGGUGGCCAGGAGCAGCUCCCUCUGGUGAACCUCUUUUGUGCUUUUAUCUCCCUCCUCUUGGCAGUGAGCUGGCACUGGAUGCCAGCCACGGCCCGCUCACCCUCCCCAGUGCCCAGCCGGAAUGCUCAGCCAGUGCCUACUUCUCUUCCAGCAGCUGGCCCUACUUCUCCUCCACAGCUGGCUGCUGCCCCCUACUGUGGUAAUUAUUAUUUAUGAUGGAUAUUCAGUGUACAUUAUGUGUCCAGAGUCCAGUGCCAUCUGAGUCAGUACCAGAGUCCUACUGAGUGGGCAGAAGCACACAGCAAUGCGCUGUUGUUCCACACAUACACUCACCAGGCUCUCACACAGGGAUAGACUGAGGGGGAGGGAGUGAAGGUGGCUGUUGGCACCUAUUAGCAUGAUCUGAUGUGACACGUACUCUGUGUCCUGUGUUACAUGACUCUGACGACACCACAGCUGAGUGCAGAACUGCUUUUCUUCACCUUGCUAUCAAUAGCAGGUCUCUUGCAAUUCAUGCUAUCAAAUGGGAAACACGCAAGGUGUUUGCCAAAAGACGUGGUUGCUGCUCAGCCUCUGCUUAACUCCCUUUUGCUUUGAAGGUAGAUAUCGCUUGGUGCUCAGCUGCUGUCGAGAAGUGACGACCAUAGACCUCAGCAUGGCUUCAUUGGGCAUCACUCAAUUUCCUGUUUCUCUCCCCAACUGUCUUUUCCAGGAGUGCCUGAUUGUGCUGGUCCCUUGUUGCAUGUGUCUAUCAUCUCCCUCUUGCCCUUCACCUUUCCUUCUCACACUGCCUCCUUGAACCCAUUACCCUCAGGCAAAUACAGCAGAGCUUUAACUUCCAUAUCUUAGUGUAAAAGCAAAAGCACCUGAAUGAAGCAGCAUCCUCCAUGCAUUCAGAAAAAUACAGAAUCUUAAACAUGCUUCAAACACACAUGUAAUGUAUGCGAGCCAGCUUCUCAGCUAUAGUGGUUAGGUUUAUCUGUUAAAGAUGAUGGAACAAUACUGUUUCAUGGCAGCUAAGGAUCUGUCCCAGUAUGUAAAUGUAAAUAUCUAUUUUUACAAGCCCUCCUACAGUUUGCUUUAAAAGAAACCUUUCUUUUUAGACACUGAAAGCAUACAAGCCAGUCAGAAAUGUCCCACUUUCUAUAUUUUGUUUAAUUCCUACCUCUGACUUCCUUUGAAAUCUAAUGAAUUCAAAAAAGACAGAGUGAAUUAAAAGUGAAGUAGCUUUGCCUUUGGUGCACAGGGCCUGUAGGAACUGAAAAAAAAAGAAAAAAACAGGAAAGAAAUGAAAUGGGUAUGAAGCCACAUCAAUCCAAAUAAUUUUAAAUGUUUGAUGGUAAGCAAGCUCACCAAACCUAGCAAAAUUCCCACUGUCCUUUUGCUUGUGACUUCUAUCCUUUCAACUAGCUGUGGCAAAUUAAUGUUGAGAGCAAAUACUCAUGCAUUCAGUCUGUAUCAGGGCACUUUCUGCCAUGAUUCUCUUUUUAAAUUGUUUUGAGUUUUAUGUCUAAUUGCUUCCUUUGUGUUUUAUGCACAAAGAUGCCUGCAUCCCAUAUUUCAUAUGUAUCGAGCUAUAGUUCUUGGAUAGGGUGUAUUCAAACCUCAGAACUCUUCAAGUUUGAUUCCAGGAACUGAUUUGUCCUUUUUUUAAAGAUAGGAACCACAUGUGCAACCUGGAUCCAGAUCUAGGGUAGGGUCUGGAUACGUUACUUUAAAUGCACUAGGAUGAGGGAUCCAAACUUGUUUAUUUGUAAUGAAAUUAGUUCUAAUACCUACUGCUGGAUGCUCAACUUUCCCCUCACUAUGAAGAGAAAUGUUCACAUAUUUACUUCUGGUCUUAUUUAUAAUUCAUUGCAGAAUCACACUGUCUUCAGGAUAUUUUUCUCAGUUUGGUUUGUUACCAUCCUCUUUAGCAAUUGCUUAUAACUAAUUGGAUCGCUUGCACAUGGCCACACUCCUCUGAUAAGUCCCUGUUAUCCCACUCGCCCUCUGAAGGCUGCUCUGCUGGCUCCUCGAGGCACUCCAGUAAAACAGAGAGGUACUUGUCCCUUAGUACCAACCUAAAGCCAUUUAACAGACUGAGGGACACCCUCAUGGGUUUCUUCUGUCCAACGUACUCUCUUUAGCUACUGUUCAGAACCGGUUUCUUGGGCCCCCUAAAACUCGUAAACUUCAAAGCUCUGCAAUUCCCAGGAUUUUCCUCAUCUCCUUUUGAAGACAGGCAACAUAAUAGGGCUUCCCAGCCUUCUAGUGCUGCUGCGUUUUUCAAGGGAAGAAGGCAUCCCCUUGUCAGUAUCUUGGCUUUUUCUCACUUUAUUUCCCCUCAGAACUCCCAGAUGAACACCAUCCGGUUGUGGUGAUUUACUGCAUUUGAGUUUCUCAAGUUACGCUACAACUUCCUCCUCAGAGACUUCAAUCUGUAUAAAGGCCACACUCUGAUUUUCUUUGCAAAGUGCCUUUGGCACAGGAAUUUCUGCGCGACUCUCGGCAGCAGACAUGAUGCGAGGGAUUUAUUUAACUUCUCUGUUAGCUUGUUGCACUUAUCUCCUGACCCACUUUAUAUGGAUUCGUGAGGAUCUGUGGGGUGUUUUGGUGCAUAGCCCAACAUAAGAUUUAUAUUCACUUACAGGUGAGGCCCAGCCCUCACCUGGUGUUCUCUUGCUGUUCCACCAAAGGAUAUUUCUGCACAUUACUGCAGCCACUCUCCUUUCUUCCCACUCCUUUUCUGUUUUAAGAAAGAUAGAAGCUGCCAUACGGCCCAGCCAAUCUUCAGUGAUUAUGAAGGACAGAACUAGAACAUUAGAAAUGGUGCAAAAAUAUUCUCCAUGUCCUCUGGUCACUGUAGGCUGGUUUAAACUCCAGAUAUAUAUACUUGAUUUGAGAUAUAUGACAAACAAUGUUGCCCUUUGGUAUGAGAUGGAUAUAGAAUGGACAUCAGCU
rnacentral:lncRNA from 1 species